GGGGGCAACCCUGGCGGCGAGCGGCGAACGGGUGAGUAACACAUCGGAACGUACCCAAUUGUGGGGGAUAACACAUCGAAAGAUGUGCUAAUACCGCAUAAGUCCUGAGGGAGAAAGCGGGGGAUCGCAAGACCUCGCGCGAAUGGAGCGGCCGAUGUUCGAUUAGCUAGUUGGUAGGGUAAAGGCCUACCAAGGCGACGAUCGAUAGCUGGUCUGAGAGGACGACCAGCCACACUGGAACUGAGACACGGUCCAGACUCCUACGGGAGGCAGCAGUGGGGAAUUUUGGACAAUGGGGGCAACCCUGAUCCAGCCAUUCCGCGUGAGUGAAGAAGGCCUUCGGGUUGUAAAGCUCUUUCGGCAGGAACGAAACGGUGAGGGCUAAUACCCUUUACUAAUGACGGUACCUGAAGAAGAAGCACCGGCUAACUACGUGCCAGCAGCCGCGGUAAUACGUAGGGUGCGAGCGUUAAUCGGAAUUACUGGGCGUAAAGCGUGCGCAGGCUUUUUUGUAAGACAGCUGUGAAAUCCCCGGGCUCAACCUGGGAACUGCGGUUGUGACUGCAAGACUCGAGUGUGGCAGAGGGGGGUGGAAUUCCACGUGUAGCAGUGAAAUGCGUAGAGAUGUGGAGGAACACCGAUGGCGAAGGCAGCCCCCUGGGUCAACACUGACGCUCAUGCACGAAAGCGUGGGGAGCAAACAGGAUUAGAUACCCUGGUAGUCCACGCCCUAAACGAUGCCAACUAGGUGUUGGGAAAGGAGACUUUCUUAGUGCCGUAGCUAACGCGUGAAGUUGGCCGCCUGGGGAGUACGGUCGCAAGAUUAAAACUCAAAGGAAUUGACGGGGACCCGCACAAGCGGUGGAUGAUGUGGAUUAAUUCGAUGCAACGCGAAAAACCUUACCUACCCUUGACAUGUCAGGAAUCCCGGAGAGAUUUGGGAGUGCUCGAAAGAGAACCUGAACACAGGUGCUGCAUGGCUGUCGUCAGCUCGUGUCGUGAGAUGUUGGGUUAAGUCCCGCAACGAGCGCAACCCUUGUCAUUAAUUGCCAUCAUUCAGUUGGGCACUUUAAUGAGACUGCCGGUGACAAACCGGAGGAAGGUGGGGAUGACGUCAAGUCCUCAUGGCCCUUAUGGGUAGGGCUUCACACGUCAUACAAUGGUCGGUACAGAGGGUUGCCAACCCGCGAGGGGGAGCCAAUCCCACAAAGCCGAUCGUAGUCCGGAUUGGAGUCUGCAACUCGACUCCAUGAAGUCGGAAUCGCUAGUAAUCGUGGAUCAGCAUGUCACGGUGAAUACGUUCCCGGGUC
rnacentral:rRNA from 1 species